AAUUCCUACUUUGUAAAAUUAGAACUCAAUGUUUACUAAUUUUUCUCAUGUAAAAUUGUGGAGUAAUAUGUGAUUUAAUCACAUAAAAUAAUGAAUUGUAUAUUAACUGUAACAGUUACUCUAAUUAUAGUGUUAAUCUGUUUUUUUCUUACUACAACUUUUUAUAAAAACUGGAGUAAAAUGUACUCCAAAAUAUCAAAAAAGCUCAAGUUUGAAUUGGCACAUGCGCAGUGGGACCAUUUCAACCCAGGAUUCCGUUAGUGCUUUCUUAAUCAGACCAUGAUAUUCAGUCGGAGCUGUUUGGGCGCGAUGCAACGUAAGAACUAAGAAAAGGGGAGUGCAAAAUAAUCCUGACUAGGACCACCAAGAUUUUAUACUUUGAGUCAGGGGGAGCCAUACAUUGAAGUCUAGGGAGAACGUAGAUUUCUCAAAGGAGAAAAUGUAGGCUUUUAAGAUGAGGUGGUUAUGCAAACUUUGCAGUUUUAGGGCAACAACACGUUUAGCACUUCUAAAGCAUUACAGAUUGACACAUAUAUUAACUGGCCAUGGUCGCUCUUUACCUUGCUUGUAUUCAGACUGCCCAAGUGCAUUCAAAAGUUUAAAUUCACUUCAUGCCCAUUUGUCCAGAGAGCAUUGCCAAACGAAUAAGUCAGGGGAAACUGUUGCUUUCU